CUCCUUUUGGUGUCUGUUGACUUGAUUGGGCGGGUCCAAUAUCAGCCGGAUUCCACUUGAGAGACUUUGGGGAGGCCUGACGGUCUCACCCAAUGGCUUGGGGUUGUGCCGGCUGUGAGGGGUGGCGGUUAACUCACUUUAAGCAAUCAAUUCUGAAGACAGUUCUAUUGGCUAGCAUUGCUGGCUGUAGACUGAACAAAUACAGACAACUCUCAACAACGGAUAUCUUGGCUCCCGUAACGAUGAAGAACGCAGCGAAAUGCGAUACGUAGUGUGAAUUGCAGAAUUCCGUGAACCAUCGAAUCUUUGAACGCAAAUUGCGCUCGAGGCUUCGGCCAAGAGCAUGUCUGCCUCAGCGUCGGCUACUACCCUCAACUAAGUUUCCUAUGAAAGACUAGGGGAUGCCAGUUGGAUAUGGCAGUCCGGUUUGCCUUUCAGGUUGCCGGUCAGCUGAAAUAUAUUCGCGCUCUGGGGGCUGCUUUCCUUGAUAGGCUACUUUCAAGGGGAGGCGAAUUCCGAUUUGGUAGGUGACCUUUGCCGGUUACAUGCCUUCGUUGCUCGCUAAGCGUCCCAGUAGUCGUUGUGCAGGACGCCUUUUGGCUUUCGACCUGAGGUCAGGCAAGAACACCCGCUGAACUUAAGCAUAUCAAUAAGCGGAGGAAAAGAA
rnacentral:rRNA from 1 species